GAUGAACGCUGGCGGCGUGCCUAAUACAUGCAAGUCGAGCGAACAGACGAGGAGCUUGCUCCUCUGACGUUAGCGGCGGACGGGUGAGUACACGUGGAUAACCUACCUAUAAGACUGGGAUAACUUCGGGAAACCGGAGCUAAUACCGGAUAAUAUAUUGAACCGCAUGGUUCAAUAGUGAAAUACGGUUUUGCUGUCACUUAUAGAUGGAUCCGCGCCGCAUUAGCUAGUUGGUAAGGUAACGGCUUACCAAGGCGACGAUGCGUAGCCGACCUGAGAGGGUGAUCGGCCACACUGGAACUGAGACACGGUCCAGACUCCUACGGGAGGCAGCAGUAGGGAAUCUUCCGCAAUGGGCGAAAGCCUGACGGAGCAACGCCGCGUGAGUGAUGAAGGUCUUCGGAUCGUAAAACUCUGUUAUUAGGGAAGAACAAAUGUGUAAGUAACUAUGCACGUCUUGACGGUACCUAAUCAGAAAGCCACGGCUAACUACGUG
rnacentral:rRNA from 1 species